GUAAGUAACUGUCGUUUCCAACGAGUGAAAUUUUGCCCCGUAUUUGUCGCUAGGGGGUUUCGUAAACAUUUCAACGAAAAAGUUCCCUCGAAUGACUCGGAAAUUGUCAACAAAUUAUCAUUUUAUAAUGCAAAAAGUGCAAUCGCAGUGUCUCGUGUUUCUAUAAGAAUAGCUUCUUCCUUUCAGAAAAAACUGUUGCCCAUAUUCUGGUGAAAAAUAAAAUAGUGUCUCACAAAUGUAAUUAUCGCAGAUCUUCAGUUUCAGACGAGAAAUAUUAUUUAUCUUCGUUCUCGCUUUUUCUUGUUCGUUUCUGGAUAUUUCAUUUCUCAUUCUUAUCUUCUCUUCCGUGACUCGAGACAAGCCGGAUGUCAGAUUAUCGGCAAGGAAAAUCUGUUACUCGAGAAGACACAGAUGAUGCACUUUGACCAUUUUUUUUGAACAUCUUCGUCACACCCUCUGUCACGUGGAUUUCCCCGAAAUGGAUUUUCUCGGAAAUUUUCUCCGGCUAGUUUCGGGCUAGGCUACAAGAUUUUCUAGUUUCACGGCGUGUCUCUAGCCAGGCAGCUGCAGCUGUUACGAAUGCCGUGGUAACAAGCGUGUCCAAAGGAUCGAGGAGGAAUCCAUUAUUCCGCCGUGAAAUCGUAGGGAAAAGGAUGACGUUUCAGAAAAAAAAAACCGAUUAUUUCAUGGACGAAUCCUUGCGAUGACAAUAUACCCAGGCUUACCAUGAACAGCUGACUUCGUUGCGUCGUUUAUGAUCAAGAACCGAUAUUCUUUGUUAUUCACAUGAUUACCCAAAUAGACAAUACAUUUAUUAGAUUGCUUUUGGUACAAAUUGGGGUACAAAAUCCAUGACGAGAUUCACGAUUCGUUCUCUACAAGCCAAAAUCAUAGAAGCGUAAUCUUCCAGUUGUCCAAGGGUAUAAUCAAAGAAUUAUGCUACAUUUAUUAUACUAUACACUAUACUACUAUAUUUAUUUAGUUUACAGAACUUUUAUUCGAACAGGGCAAGACUUUCCACUUUGGAACUUAUUCAAGUAAAAAUAUUGCAACACUGGCUGUUGCAACUCUGCUAUACUAUACUAAUUGUACUAUACUUAACACUGUUGUACUAUACUGUACUAGCUGUACUAUACUAUACUAUGUAAUAUAUAGAUAAUAUAUAAGAUACUUUGACCAGGAAUCAAAGUAUGAAUAGGAUAGGAUAUAUAACCACAGAUAGAAAGAGUUUAGUACCACAGCAAGCACAAGCUAAUAUUACAACAUUUUUAUAUCUAUAAGUUCUCUUGUUCUGUGAAGUGUAAUUACAGUACAACGUAACACCGUUGUCGAUCCUUACACAUCAAACAACAAACUACUGGAUGAAACAAAUACUUAAUACGCGUCUUUUUUGGGACUGCAACAAACUGCAGUUGCAAGGAAGUCAUUGUCUUGGGACGGUUACCUGUCCCUAAGGAUUAGCAUGCAGUUAUUCCGGCAGAUGGAGAAUAGGAAAGUAGGAAUAGCAACGAUGUCUCUUGCGGUCAUGCCGCGCUGAAAUAGGACAAUCGUUCGACAUACCUACCGGAAUUAGGAUUCUAACGGUCACCGAAUGGAAACGCCAAUGUCACUCCUUUCCCAAGCAUUUGCCUGCCUGGACAUAAUGACAGGGUGACAAAGGAUAAUGUGACGAUCUCUCGACCGCAAGUCUACAAUUUUCUAUAAUUUACUGUUAGCGUAGUUUUAAAAUCUACGCUAGGAAUUAUCCAGUGUACCACGAGUUGCACAACACGUAUUAGGAAUUUUGGCAGAUAAUACAAGUAUGAAGAAUCGGUUGACAUCAACGGAGUUAUUAUUGCGAGACCAGCGCAUCCAGUUGAAAAUGGCGUGCAUUAUAAACACACGGAUCCAACCAUGUUGCUCAUGUACACGCGUACCUAUAUGUAGGUAGACGCGUACAUGCACGUAUGGUAGCUGAAGGGGCAGGUUUCGAGCACCAACCUUGGCAAAAGGGCCCAGCGUAUAAAUGGCGGCUGAAAAUUCGCAAACUCGCCAACAUUGUACUGAUAUUUGGCUUCUUCUGUAUCAUAUCUAUCUAAGGAUAAUUAAAUCACCACUUGUUGGGUGGAACAAAU